rnacentral:rRNA from 1 species
UACGUAGGGGGCAAGCGUUUGUCCGGAAUCAUUGGGCGUAAAGCGCGUGUAGGCGGCUCGGUAAGUCUGCUGUGAAAGUCCAGGGCUCAACCCUGGAAAGCCGGUGGAAACUGUCGAGCUAGAGUCCGGAAGAGGCGAGUGGAAUCCUGGUGUAGCGGUGAAAUGCGCAGAUAUCAGGAGGAACACCAAUGGCGAAAGGCAGCUCGCUGGGACGGUACUGACGCUGAGACGCGAAAGCGUGGGGAGCAAACAGG